rnacentral:rRNA from 1 species
GACAGAGGGGGCAAGCGUUGCUCGGAAUUACUGGGCGUAAAGGGUGCGUGGGCGGCGCGGUAAGUCGGGUGUGAAAUCUCGGAGCUUAACUCCGAAACUGCAUUCGAUACUGCCGUGCUUGAGGACUGGAGAGGAGACUGGAAUUUACGGUGUAGCGGUGAAAUGCGUAGAUAUCGUAAGGAAGACCAGUGGCGAAGGCGGGUCUCUGGACAGUUCCUGACGCUGAGGCACGAAGGCCAGGGGAGCAAACGGG